rnacentral:rRNA from 1 species
UACAGAGGGUGCAAGCGUUGUUCGGAAUUACUGGGCGUAAAGCGCGUGUAGGCGGUUUGGUAAGUCAAAUGUGGAAAUCCCUGAGCUCAACUUAGGAACUGCAUAUGAUACUGCUAGACUCGAGUGUCGGAGGGGAUGGUGGAAUUCCCGGUGUAGUGGUGGAAUGCGUAGAUAUCGGGAGGAACACCAGUGGCGAAGGCGGUUGCCUGGAGCUUUGCUGACGCUGAUGCGCGAAAGCGUGGGGAGCGAUCCGG